rnacentral:lncRNA from 1 species
AUAAAUACUUCCAAUCCAUCCAUGAACUCUCCUGUUGGACUACCUUGAGCAUAUCGCCUAUACAUCCACCCUCUAUCUAAACUCAUGUUUAUAUUUCCUGCAUUCAUAUAUUAUUAAUAUUUUAAUUAGUUCACACAUUAGAUAUAAAAUUAAGAUGACGAAUAAGAGUGGAAAUUAAGAUUAGAAAUUAAGAUUAAGAUUAAGAUUAAGAUAAGAAUUAGGAAUUAAGAUUAAGAUUAGGAUUAUGAAAGGAGAUUAAGAUUUGGAUUAGGAAUUAAGAUUAAGAUUAGGAUUAUGAAAGGAGAUUAAGAUUUGGAUUAGGAAUUAAGAUUAAAGAGUAGGAUUAAGAUUAAGAUUAAAAUUAGGAAUCCGAAUUAAGAUUAAGAUUAGGAUUAUGAAUUAAGAUUAAGAUUAGGAAUUCAGAUUAAGAUUAGGAAUAAGAUUAUGAUUAGAAUUAAGAUUAAGAUUAUGAAUUAAGAUUAAGAUUAUGAAUAAGAGUAGACAUUAAGAUCUCAAAUAAGGACGAAGAUUAGGAUUAUAGAAGGAUGACUGAAGAUUUGACUUAAAAAGAAUUAAAUAUGCAUAUUAUGACUUGAAAAUGAUGACGAUUAGGAUUUCAAGAAGGAUGAUGGAAGAUUGAAAUUUCAACACAACAACAAAACCAGGGCGGUAGUCAUUGCUACCGCCUCCGCCUCUCCCCCACCGGCGGCCCAAACUCUAAUUAAUCACAAUCAUACUUAAUCGCCUCUCCCCCACCGACGAAACUAUCAUGCUUAAUUAUAAUUAAAACAUGCUCAACGCAAUUAAUCAUGCUAAAUCAUAUAUUUCGCCUCUCCCCCACCGGCGAUAAAGCGAAUUAAAUAAAUUUAAACAUUAUAAGUUCUUUAAAUAGAAAUUAACCUUCAUAAGUUCUUUAAAUAGAAAUGAACCUAAGUAAGUUCUUUAAAUAGAGAUUAACCUAACUAAGUUCUUUAACUAAAUCUAAUAUAUAUAUAGAAAUCAACCUAACUAAGUUAUUUAAAUAAAUCUAAUAUUUACAAAUAAACCUAACUAAGUUCUUUAAAUAAAUCUAAAAUAAAUUAUCUUACUAAGUUAUUGUUCUUUAAACAAAUCAAAUAGAAAUGAACAUAUAUAAUUAACAUAUAAUUUCACAUUACAUUCAAACUAAAUUCACAUUAAUUCAUACUAGUAUAAUUAACAUUAAUUUGAAACAUAGCCUACAUUAAUUCACAUAUAAUUCAUACUAAGUUCUAUGUAAAUUUCUCAUUAAUUCACAUAUAAUUAACCUAAAUUCAUAUACUAACAUACCAAUAUUAACCUAAAUUCAAAUUAAUAGCCUACAUUAUAUAAGUUACACGAACUAACCUACAAUCUCUAAUUCCGGCAACGGCAGGAGCUUUCCGGCGAGGGUAGGGGCAGUCCGGCGAGGGCAGGGGCUGGGAAUUAGAGUUAGGGUUAAUAAUUGAUGAAAUGUAUAAAAAAUAAUUAGGGUUAGGAUGAAUAAUUAAUUAACUUACCGUAGAGUAGCGGCGUGCGACGGACAGAGAGCAGCGGUCGGGUCGCAUCGGACGGAGAGAAGCAGCAGCGGUCGCGUCGGACGGAGAGGAGCAGCAGCGGCGGCGUCGGUGGAGGUGGGCGUUCGAUGGACGGAGGCGGCGGUGUCGGGAACGGCGAAAUCGGCGGCAGGAGGCGGAGAAUCGGAGGAGGAAAGGUGGAGAAGAAAAUGGGGGAAAAAUUAGAAAACCUAAGUUAAGUCCGCGACUUCAACGACCGAUUCGUAAUAUAACGACCGUUUUUCGGUCGUUACCAAUUUUAAUUAUAAUAAUAAAAAUUUUGGUUUACAACGACCGAAAAACGGUCAUUAAAAAUAAUUAUUAAUUUUUUUUAGUUCUAAUAUAAAGACCGAAUUUCGGUCGUAAAUAUUAAAUAAUUUUAAAUUAAUUAAAAUACAACGACCGUUACAUAAACGGUCGUUAAAUAUUUCCGAAAAAAUAAAAAUAUCAUAACUGAAAUUAAGUUAACGACCGUUUGUAACGGUCGUUAAGUUAAAAUUAUAUCAAAAUUAAAUAAAAAAUAACCAACGACCGAAAAACGGUCGUGAAUACGGUCGUUAUAAAUUAACGACCGUUUCAUUCGGUCGUAGAAAAUAAAAAAAAUAACAUUUAAAAUAUCAAAGAAAACGGUCGUUAAUACUUAAAUUUCGGUCGUUAAGACCGCCUUUUUAAAGACUAAAAAUUUCGGUCGUUGCAGCCGCUGUUUCUUGUAGUGUGUUAAGUAAAAAUACAUAAGUUGUGAUACUUGAACAAAAAUUAAUACAGUCUAUCACUAGAAAAGUGACUAAAGACCGCGUCAUCACCAAAAUAUGAAUGAACAAUAAAUUAUGUAUGCAUUGUUAAACUAAGAUGCUAGAGUUUCACUUGUUGAAUGUUAUUGAAAUUUUUUAGACAUUCUAAAUAAUAUUUCUGUAAUUUUAACUUGUGUAAUUUAAGUUCGUCUCAUAUCAGAUUAUGUUUUUAGUUAAUCUAAAAAUGAAGAAAGAAUAGGAAAAGGAUAAAUCUCUGAAAGAAACGUGCAACACGUGUGGUCAAUGAGAUUUUAUUUUUAGCUAAUCUCAUCAAAACGAAUUCCUGGCGAAAUUCUAUAAUGAUCUGAACAUGCUUUAUUUCAUUUUAUGCUGUAUUUCAUAGAGUAGCCUCAUAUUAAGAAAUGAUUUGGAGGUUGUAAUUAGGCGUGAAGUCAGCGCUUCGGACAAACAAUCGGUAUAUACGUCGAGCUUCAUGUAAUGUAACUAAGUAGAGAAGUACCUAAUGGUCAACAUGUGCCUUUAGAUAGUGUUUGACUAAGCUUAUUCUAAAAAAACUCAUAAAAUGUUUAAUGAGCUUAUAAAAUGUUUCAAGAGUUUAUAAAAUAUAAUUUUUUAAGAGUUUAUAAGUUACCAAAGUGUUUGGGUAAUUGAGCUUAUAAGCUAGAGAGAAAAAUUUUAAUUAGUGAAAAAAGAUCGAAUAAAAAUAAAAUUAGAAUGAUAUAUGAUGAAAAUAAAAAAUUUUAGUUGAGUUAUUUUUAUAAAUGAGUAUUGCUUAUAAGAUAAUGAGAAAAUACGUUGAAGUAGAGAAACUCAUUUUUUAGAGAGUUUAUAAGCUCUUAGAGCUUAUCUUUACAAUUUAUAAAUUUUUUAAAAACUUAUUUUAUUAAACACAUUGAAUGAAUUUAUAAGCUUUUAAACAACUUAUACACUAUUUUAAAGAAACUCUGUGAAACACCCUCUUAAUCUACUCUUGCAAAUGAAAUACUACCAUUAUAACAAGUCAAAUCAACUAUGCUCACCACGAUGAUCACAUGCACAUUACUGUAGUCUUGACGGCUAAAAUCUAAGCUUGUUAUUUCAUACUGCAAAAAAAAAUUGUAUUUAUUUCAUAUUAGAUUAUUUGUGCAACAUUUCACAUUGGAUGUCAAUCGGGCCAGCCCACCGAAUUUCGGGCCAGCUCUAUCGGAUUUUAGAUUAAUCGGGUGCGGGCUAAUCGGACUGGAGAUUUUAUCGGGUUAUAAAUUUUCAACCCUAACCCUAAACGUUCGGGUUUUGGGCUAGCCCAUCGGGCUAGUUGACUUAAAUGCGUAAAAAUAAAAUAAUCAUUUGUAUUUUUGUUAUUUUUAAUGAUCUAAUGUAUAAUGUAUAAAAUAUACAUAGAAAUCAAAGAUAUAAAUUAUAUAGCAGGCAUGAAAUGCAAAAAUAUAAGAUAUUGAAAAAAAACAUCAAGAUUACAUAGCAUAUAAAAUAAAUUGGUAACAAUAAAAUGUUCAACUUUGUUAAUGAAAAAAUAAUAAAAUAUCCAAUAAUAGUUUGAAUUCAUAGAAUCAAAGCAUCUCAAAAAUACUAAAAAGUGAAAUGAUGAGACGUUAUAAUAUUUUGUCAUUUUUUUAUUUUUAUAUCUAAAUAUUUAAUAUUAAGUAUUCGGGUUUCGGGCUAGCCCAUCGGGUUAGUCUGGCCGACCCUAUCGGGUGUCGAGCUAUUCUGUUACGAGUUAAUCGGAUUGUAACUUUUAUUGGGUUGAAAAUAUUCAACCCUAACCCUCUCGAAUGACGGGUUAAUCGGGUCAGCCCACAAAUUUCGAGCUAGAUUGACAUCCCUAUGCAUUUGUAUGCGACUUCACAAGUGAAAUGAAGCAUUUUGUAGAUGGCGUGAGCGUGGGACAUAAUAGAGACAAAGGAGGGCUUGGGAAGAGGGGGGACUUCUUUUUUCUUUCUGUUGAAAUAUUGUUUUUAUAAGAGUUAAUGACUAAUAAAAUCACAACUUUUGAGUAUAUUUUGAUUUUAAUCUCUAACAAAAUAUUUAUGAAAUAGUAAAUUUUGGGCAUAUUUUGAUUUUAAUCUCUAACAAAAAAAUUUGCAUAUAAAUUAUUUAAACUUUUAAUUGUUUCUGAUUUAUUUAACCACGGAAACAGUAUCUGACCACAUACAUGGCAUUUUAAUCUUAAAAUUAUUAAACAAUUGUAAUUUAAAAAUAUUUAAAUGUAAUCUUAAUCUUAAAAACUAUUGUAAUUUAAAAAGAUUUAAAUUAGUUAUAAUUAAACAAUCAUGUAAAUUUUUUGAAAGGAAAAAAUGACAUCUACUUAUUUUUUCACCAAUAAACGGAAACAAAAUGAAAAAAAUGUAUACGAUGUUCACAUUAGAGAUAAUGAGAGCGAACAAAAAUUAAUUUUGACACUUUAAAUAAUAUUAAUAACUUAUUCAUUUCAAAAUUAUUUUUUUUUUAUAAUUUUUACAUAAAUUAAAGAUAUUUUCAUAAUUUUUUAGUUAACAAGCAUAUUUAGUACUCCCUCCGUCCAUGAUUCAGUGUCCUGUUUGGCCUUUAAAAAGUGUCCACAAUUGAAUGCCUUGUUUUGCUUUUUGUACCCUUUUACCCUCCAUCUUUAUUUAAAAUUGCUACCAUUUGCCAUUCAUUACCCCACCCCUUAUUGUGAAGUUAGUUAAUUAAAUCAUCAUUAACACCUAAUUACUCUCUCCCUAUUUGCACGAUGCAAUCUUAUUUUUUGGCCUCUUCAUUCAUUCGAACCCUAGCGCCGCUUCAUCUCUCUCACUCUCCAUUCUGAAAACCCUAGCGUCGCUUCCUCUCUCUCUCCCGAUUUUUUGGCCUCUCCAUUCAUGAAUCCACCUCCAUCCAAAUUUUCUCCAUCUUCAUCGAUGGAGGGCAUUUUUAUGGAUUCUUUGGAUGGAUUUGUGUUGCGGGAGACGUUUGUGCCAGAAACUGAAUUUUCUCUUCUCGAUCUCUCUGAAUCGGUUGAAUUCGUGCCUGAAACCGAAGCGGCGCCGUGGUUGCUGCCGGAAUCCGUAGCGGCGCGCCUCCCUCUCUCUGAAUCGGUUGAAUUCGUGCCUGAAACUGAACUAGGGUCGAAGUCGGAGUCGUCGUUGCUCCCUGUCACCGGAUCGGAGUCGUCGCCACCGGAAUCCGAAGCGUCGCCAUGGAUGCUGCCAAGAACCGAGGCAGCCUCCCUCCCUCGCUCUGAAUCGGAGCAGAUUUUGCCUCCUUACGAAGGCGGACAUGGUUGCUACCGGAAACUGAGCCGGCAGCCCUCUCUCUCUCACCAUCGCCGGAACCUCUCUCUGAACCGCCGGAAUACGAUUCCGAUGGCUUCCAUCUCUCUGAACAAAUUAGAUCCACACUACCCUUUUAUUGUGAAGUUAUUUAUGCUUUUUCCAUUAAUUGAAAUAAGGAAACAAACUGAAAAAUGAAAUUUAAUAAACUGAAAAUUUAAUAAACUGAAAAUUUUAAACUGAAAAAAUUUAAAUUUAAUAAUCUGAAAAAUGAAAUUUAAUAAAUUGAAAAUUUUAAAUUAAAAAAA